rnacentral:lncRNA from 1 species
CCCUUACAUUUUUAUAUUCCCAUGUGCUCAUAUAUGUAUUAUCUAUUUCGACAAAUAAUACAAAAAAAGGUAGCUUUUCAACGCAUUCUAAAAUUACUUUCAUCUAUUUUCGCUCUUUUACUUCAUGUACUAUUUUUAGUUAAUCCAACUUAUAAUUUAACAAUAUCCAUCCUUCCAUCUAAAUAUUGUCCUUUUGAUUUGAUCCUCAAUUUUUUGCUCUUUUGACUUCGGACUCGAUACAAUAAGCCGCCCUUAGAGUUAAAGCUGCAUUGAAAAUAAUCAUAUGGAAAUCUUGU